rnacentral:rRNA from 1 species
AGUGAACGCUGGCGGUAGGCCUAACACAUGCAAGUCGAACGGCAGCACAGUAAGAGCUUGCUCUUACGGGUGGCGAGUGGCGGACGGGUGAGGAAUACAUCGGAAUCUACUUUUUCGUGGGGGAUAACGUAGGGAAACUUACGCUAAAACCGCAUACGACCUACGGGUGAAAGCAGGGGAUCUUCGGACCUUGCGCGAUUGAAUGAGCCGAUGUCGGAUUAGCUAGUUGGCGGGGUAAAGGCCCACCAAGGCGACGAUCCGUAGCUGGUCUGAGAGGAUGAUCAGCCACACUGGGACUGAGACACGGUCCAGACUCCUACGGGAGGCAGCAGUGGGGAAUAUUGGACAAUGGGCGCAAGCCUGAUCCAGCCAUACCGCGUGGGUGAAGAAGGCCUUCGGGUUGUAAAGCCCUUUUGUUGGGAAAGAAAAGCAGCAGGUUAAUACCCCGCUGUUCUGACGGUACCCAAAGAAUAAGCACCGGCUAACUUCGUG